rnacentral:rRNA from 1 species
UACGUAGGGCGCAAGCGCUAUCCGGAAUUAUUGGGCGUAAAGCGCACGUAGGCGGCUUUGCAAGUCCCAUGUGAAAUCCCACGGCUCAACCGUGGAAGUGCAUGGGAAACUGCAGAGCUUGAGUACUUAAGAGGAUCGCGGAAUUCCCGGUGUAGAGGUGAAAUUCGUAGAUAUCGGGGAGGAACACCAGUGGCGAAGGCGGCGAUCUGGGAAGAUACUGACGCUGAGGUGCGAAAGCGUGGGGAGCAAACAGG